UACAGAGGGGGCAAGCGUUGUUCGGAAUUACUGGGCGUAAAGGGCGCGUAGGCGGCCUGUUAAGUCGAACGUGAAAUCCCCGGGCUCAACCCGGGAACUGCGUCCGAUACUGGCAGGCUUGAAUUCGGGAGAGGGGUGCGGAAUUCCAGGUGUAGCGGUGAAAUGCGUAGAUAUCUGGAGGAACACCGGUGGCGAAGGCGGCAUCCUGGACCGAGAUUGACGCUGAUGCGCGAAAGCCAGGGGAGCAAACGGG
rnacentral:rRNA from 1 species